GACGAACGCUGGCGGCGUGCUUAACACAUGCAAGUCGAACGGAAAGGCCCUGCUUUUGUGGGGUGCUCGAGUGGCGAACGGGUGAGUAACACGUGAGUAACCUGCCCUUGACUUUGGGAUAACUUCAGGAAACUGGGGCUAAUACCGGAUAGGAGCUCCUGUUGCAUGGUGGGGGUUGGAAAUUUUCGGCGGUUGGGGAUGGACUCGCGGCUUAUCAGCUUGUUGGUGGGGUAGUGGCUUACCAAGGCUUUGACGGGUACCCGGCCUGAGAGGGUGACCGGGCACAUUGGGACUGAGGUACGGCCCAGACUCCUACGGGAGGCAGCAGUGGGGAAUAUUGCACAAUGGGCGGAAGCCUGAUGCAGCAACGCCGCGUGCGGGAUGACGGCCUUCGGGUUGAAAACCGCUUUCGCCUGUGACGAAGCGUGAGUGACGGUAAUGGGUAAAGAAGCACCGGCUAACUACGUG
rnacentral:rRNA from 1 species